AGCUCGGGGGCGGUAGCGCCAGGAGGGAGCGUGGCGGCCAUUUUGUGCCUGCCUCGCUCGUUUCUGUGAGGGGUUGUUGCGGGCGUUGCGGCUCCGGAGGGAAAAGUUCGGCUGUUUUCUUUCCGUGUAGGUGAGGGGCGCUGCCGCCAUGGGCCGUAAGAAGAAGAAGCAGUUAAAGCCUUGGUGCUGGUAUUGUAACAGGGAUUUUGAUGAUGAAAAAAUUCUUAUACAGCAUCAAAAAGCAAAGCACUUUAAAUGCCAUAUAUGUCAUAAGAAACUGUAUACAGGACCUGGAUUAGCUAUCCACUGCAUGCAGGUACAUAAGGAAACAAUAGAUGCUGUUCCAAAUGCGAUUCCUGGAAGAACAGACAUUGAACUGGAAAUCUAUGGUAUGGAGGGCAUUCCAGAAAAAGAUAUGGAGGAACGGAGGAGGUUACUUGAACAAAAAACUCAGGCAGAGAGCCAGAAAAAGAAACAACAGGAUGACUCUGAUGAAUAUGAAGAUGAUGAAUCUGCAGCUUCAACUUCAUUUCAACCCCAGCAAGUUCAGCCCCAGCAGGGAUACAUUCCCCCAAUGGCACAACCAGGUUUGCCUCCUGUGCCAGGUGCACCAGGGAUGCCUCCAGGUAUACCACCAUUAAUGGCAGGUGUUCCACCUAUGAUGCCUGGAAUGCCUCCAGUUAUGCCUGGAAUGCCACCUGGAUUACAUCAACAGAGAAAAUACAUGCAGUCAUUUUGUGGUGGAAACAUGAUGAUGCCGAUGGGUGGAAUGAUGCCUCCUGGGCCAGGAAUACCACCUCUUAUGCCUGGUAUGCCACCAGGUAGGUCGGGGCUGUCAAACUCGUACUAUGGUAUGCCACCGCCUGUUGGUCCUCGUCCUGGGAUGCCUCCAAUGACACAAGCGCAGCCUGUUACAGCACCAGGAAUACUUAACAGGCCUCCAGCUCCUGCUGCAUCUGCACCUGCUCCCCAGCCUCCAGUUACUAAACCACUCUUCCCAAGUGCAGGGCAGAUGGGGACACCUGUCACAAGCUCAAGUGCAGCUUCCUCCAAUUCAGAAAGUCUGUCAGCAUCUUCUAACGCUCUGUUUCCUAGCACAGCACAAGCUGCAGCAGCUGUUCCAGGUCCAGUUGGUACUGAUUUCAAACCUUUGAAUUCUACACCUGCAACAACAACAGAACCCCCAAAACCUACAUUCCCUGCUUACACACAGUCUACAGCCUCAACCACUAGCACGACAAACAGUACUGCAGCUAAACCAGCUACAUCGAUAACAAGUAAGCCUGCUACCCUCACAACCACCAGUGCAACCAGUAAGUUGAUCCAUCCAGAUGAGGAUAUAUCACUGGAAGAGAGAAGGGCGCAGUUGCCCAAGUAUCAGCGCAAUCUUCCUCGACCGGGACAGGCUUCUUUGGGUAAUCCCCAAGUUGGACCAAUUGGAGGUAUGAUGCCACCACAGCCAGGAAUUCCUCCACAACAACAAGGAAUGAGACCUCCCAUGCCACCUCAUGGUCAGUAUGGUGCUCAUCAUCAGGGCAUGCCAGGAUAUCUUCCUGGAGCGAUGCCUCCAUAUGGUCAGGGACCUCCGAUGGUGCCCCCUUACCAGAGUGGACCUCCUCGACCUCCAAUGGGAAUGAGACCUCCUGUAAUGUCGCAGGGUGGCCGCUACUGAUGCUACUACACACGCUCUAAUAGGUUUUUAGAAGUGAAGUAUAGUAAAUAUGGUUCGUUAAAUUGUGAAGGCGCUGGAAUUACAUGAACAUACCACCUUAAAGCCCUGCCAUAGGACAGGCUGAGGCAGAGUCUCAGUGUUGCCCUGUUCAGUCUGAGGCAAGUGGGAUUUAUUUUAUUCAUUCUGGGGGCUUUCACAGCUUUAUGGCUGUUGGAUAUUUAUGUCCCCAAACUUGCAGCAAGUUUGGUGAAGGCCCCUAAAUUUAUUUUAAUUUAGGUUUUUUUAUUCUCUUUUGGUAGAUGGGCUCUAUAUUAAUAUUUAUCUUUUUAUUAUCAUUGUGUUUUUAAGAGUCUUAGGGGGAGGGAACAUGUUUUAAGAUGUUUGGGUACCUUUUCUCUUUCCGGAGCACGGUUCCUUCGCAGCUGCUCAGGUAGUCCUUCAGCCACACUGCCCCCUCCCCCUCUUCCCCUGCAUUGCAUUUGUGCGGUAUUUGGUUUUGGGUUUGGUGAUGUGACUUUGUGUAGUCUCUGAACUAGUGUCAUGUAAAUAGCAAUUACUAAUGUUUCCUCUUUUGAGGAGACGUAUCUGUCAAAGUACUUAAAAUACUUAGGUUUUAGCUAGUAAGUGACAUUUAUAGUCACAAAGUUGUGUAGUCUAAAUUACAGAAUACAGUUUCUCUGGAGGAGGUUUAAUACUGCUGCAUGUGCGAGCUGCACCAGAACAAAUAUUAAUGUAGAGCCCUGUGAAGAAGUAAGAGAUUCAAGCUGGUAAAGAAGAAUAGAAAAAUGAGAAACGGUGCAGAUUUAGUUCAUCAGUUGCAGGAAAAAUCUCUUCCUUAGUCUCUCAAACACACAAAAUGUCUCAACAUUUUGUCUAUUGCAACAAUACAGAAAGUUGUGCUUUUUUGAAACCUUGUGAAAUUUUAUUGCAUGUUCAAAAUUUGCUUCCAUAUAUGCUUAUGUGAACUUCCUUCUUUCUCACAGUGACUAGCAAAACCUUUUACCCUUUGCUGAGAAAAAUGAGCUUUAGUGUUGUUGCUCAUUCAUUCAGAUGUAUUAGCUUUGAAUGCUUGAAGUUGCUUAAAGACAGCUUCAGAAGAGCAAGUUCUGUCCAUAGAGGUCAUGCAGCCUGUCAGCAGUGAAAUAGGAAACUAACAAAUUUGGGGUCUGGUUUUGUGACUUUGUAUUUUUUUUUUUUACGUAUUUUAAAAAUGUGUAGUGUUUUUUGAUGAGGAUAGACUGCUAAGUAACAACCCCAGUGUGAAUUUCCAGUAACUUUAAUUAAAAGACAGAGUUGAGAUUCACAGUUACAAGAGUGAACUUCACAUUCCUGUUUGUGCUCUGCCCUUUGCAUUUUUCCUGUAGAAGCCCCCCCAAAUAGUCCAGUCUGACUGGAAAACUGGCAUGUCCUCUGUUAAUGGUUUCAAAAUGAUUACUGAGUGUGGUGUUGCUUUUCUAAUUCUUGUUGUGGUGCUACCCUUGAUCACAGUGAAGAUGAGAACACCACGUGAAAAUACAC